UACGGAGGGUGCGAGCGUUGUCCGGAAUCAUUGGGCGUAAAGGGCGCGUAGGUGGCCCGGUCAGUCUUUGGUGAAAUCCCUGGGCUCAACCCAGGAACCUGCGUCCGAUACUGGCAGGCUUGAAUCCGGGAGAGGGAUGCAGAAUUCCAGGUGUAGCGGUGAAAUGCGUAGAUAUCUGGAGGAAUACCGGUGGCGAAGGCGGCAUCCUGGACCGGCAUCGACGCUGAGGAGCGAAAGCCAGGGGAGCAAACGGG
rnacentral:rRNA from 1 species